CCCUAUGGCGGGCGUGUCGGGCAGGCCUCGCGCCUGGCCGGGUACUGAUCAAGUCAACCGGUUUUCUACCCCGACACGUCCGCCACCCUG
rnacentral:antisense_RNA from 1 species